rnacentral:lncRNA from 1 species
GGUGUUCAUAAAUAGCUUAAUGGUGAGAAUUAGGUCAGAGAGUUGUAAGAUCUUAGCUCUGAUACCAUGAAAUAUAUUUUUUUUUUUUUUCUCAUAUUAUUAAAGACCUAAAAAGGCCAACAAAGAACCAUAUGAAACACAAAAGCCUUAAAGACCAGGCCCAAACACCAUAUACAAGCCCAAAAAAGAAAAGGAGAGUGGCCCAGUCACAACCCUUUCCACCUCCACGAAGAAACACGAAACACAGAAAAAAGACGCGUGGACACGCCACCAACUCCACCGAAACUGCCGCCGGGACUUCCACCGGAUUCACACCGGAAUCACACCGGAAUCACGAGCCAUCACCGGAAAUUAACGAAAUAAAAUCGUCACCGGAUCAUCCAAUUCACCUGACCACCGGAAACUACCGGGAAUUAACCAUGACCACUGAAAAACCACCUCCAACGACUGUAUUGAAGGUAUAAGCGAUUCAGCAUCCACCACUUAACCGUCUGAGCUUCGGAGAACGUUAAUCAAAUGAAAUCGAAAAUUCAUCCAAACUCAGGCCAUCAUACACAACACCAAACCGUCAUACAGCUCGAGCACUCGCGAGUGAAAGAUGUGAUGCGGAGUCAGAAGCCGGAUACUCAUCACCGACAGAAAGGGAGAGCACCGGAAGCAGAGGCCGGACGAGCACCGGAAGCAGAGGCCGGACGACCAUCGGAAGGACAUAUGCGACGCCGGAAUCAAAAUUAACAAGAACAUCACCGACGAGAACAAGAAGAUUCAUCUCAUAGAGAAAUCUUCAGAUCACCGUGGCUUUGACAUAAGUUUCAUCUCUUCAACUUUUCCUCUGUAAAAGAUUCUAGAGAGAGAACAGAGGAAAAGGAUGAAACGUUUUCACUCUCGUCUAUCUGGUAUUUUCUUAUAAGUAAUUUUUUCUGAUACCAUGAAAUAUAUUAUGAAAGCGUGUGUUUAUUGAUACAAUAGGCUGAGUAUAUAUACAACGUAAGAAUAUCCUAUGCUAGCUAGGUAAAGGUUAUCUAGUCCCAUAACAAUAGGGAAACCAUAUUAUCAUGUUUAUCCCUUUAAUUUUCGAACUAGACAUUUAAUAUACAUUUAAAAAGCUUGAUUAUGGAUAAAAUUAUAUCAAUUCGAAAACGACUGGAUAUAUAUCCACUUCCUAAAUUCAAAACAUAAUUAUUUUUUAAAGAUAAUAGUAUACAUAAGUUGAAUAUAUAUAUAUAGUUUUAUAACUUUAUAUCAUUCAUCACAUGUUAGCUAUAAAUAUCAUAAUAUUGUCGGUAUGAUAUUUAUUAUUUUCUUAAACCUUUCAAUUUUUUUUUAUCAUAAACAUAUAAAGAUAUCAUUUUCAAAAGGUAUUAAUAGACAAAUAAAAUAAUUUCUCAAAAUAAUCUCACAGCUUGAAUUACGGAGAAUACGACACGAGAAGAAAUUUCGGAGAACUGAACGAAUAGUUGAACUAGUUCUUUGUAUCUAUCGCAUUUUUGGUUUGGCAAGUCUUGUCUGUUUAGAUGUAUCUCUACUUGGACGAGAGACACACGACAUAUCUUAUAUUAUUAAAGUUCAAGUACAAAUUAUGUUUGUUUGGAAACAUAGAUUACAAUUUUUAAAAAAAAUUAUUUGGAAACAUGGAUCUAUAUUAUUAAAACUCAAGUAUAAAUUAAGUUUGUUUGGAAACAUAGAUUACAAUUUAAAAAAAAAAUUAUUUGGAAACAUAGAUUGCACUUUAAAAAAAAAGUUUGUUUGGAAACAUAGAUUGCAGUUUUAAAAAAAAGUUAUUUAUUUGGAAACAUAGAUUGCACUUAUAAAAAAAAUUAGUUUGGAAACAUAGAUAUCACUAUAUUAAGAAAAAAAGUAAUGGACUUAUAGUUUUAAGAAAAAUUGGACGUCCAUUAUAUUAUGAGAAAAUAUCUAUCUGGUACCUAAUCGGGUUCGGUUCAGGUCUAUUUGGGUUUUGGGAUCAAAGAUUUCAGCCCCAUUCGAAUAUUUCUAAAUUUCAGUUCGGAUUCACUUCGGAUUUUCGCGGAUUCGAUUUGAGUUCGGUGUUAACCCAUUUAAAUUACUUUAAAAUUCAUUAUAUAUUUUAAAUAUCUCAUAAACUAUAAACAAAAUAAUAUAUUAAAUAUAAAUUUGAAUAACACAUGUGAGAAUACAUAAACUUAACAUAUAAAUUAGUUUAGUUCAAAUAUUUGGAUAGAGAAUCAAUAAUUACUUUUAAGUAUUUUUGGUGUUUUAAGUAUACUUUUACUAUUUUAGAUAUUUACUAUUGAUUAUUUGUAUAUAUUUUUAAGUAUUUAAACCAGCUUAAGAGUAUCAUAUAUAUUCUCGAUGUUUUUAUAUACAUUAAAAUCUAAAAAUAAUUAAUAUAUAUCAGUAUAUAAAUCUAUUUGAGAUACAUUCGGGUACCCGAAAUACUUCGGUUCUGAUCGGAUUCGGUUUCUCCAAAAAUUAAAAUUUUGAAUAAUUCAGAUAUUUAAUCAAUUUUGGUUCGGGUUUGGUACUACCUUUUCAGAUCGGGAUCGGUUCGGUUCUUUAGAUUCGGUAAUUUUGUCCAUCUCUUAUAUUUUAUUAACAUGAAAAACAAAUAGAAACUUUGAAAAAAUACAUUUGUACAUACGCGAGGGUCAAAAUCUAAUUUCCAAUUAAAGUUUGGGUACAAUCAAUAUAUCUUCUACAACUUCCAGAAGUUUUUUCUUCGGAUUCUAUUUCUACAUAAAAUAUAACUCUUUAUUUCUUUUCAACUUUAAACAAAUUACUCUUUUGAUUCUCCAAAAGAAGCCCAAAAAAGCUGAACUUCUCUAUAUAUUUCAUCAUGUGGCUACGCAAAUAUGAAUUUAUUGCUUAGUAUUCAUUUGAAUAUUCGGAGAAAAAAUUUAUCCAUGGACUGUACUUUCUUUUAGAAAUUAGCCUAAACCAUUCUUUAAAUCCGAAAUAUGUCCAGAUUGUAAAUUAAAAAAAAACCAAAUAUAUCUUUAAAGGGUAACACAAAUUUAUUUCUAAAAUUUCAAUUAGAAUUCACAAAAUUCUUUACUUUUUGUGGAUAAGAAGAUCAAUUAUACAGUUCACGGUUUGUUUGUUUAAAUUUACUUUUCUGGUAAAUAAAUAGGUAGAAAACAUUUUUUACCUCAAAAAUCCUUUGCUUAAGGCGAAAUAAGAAAAUCCGGUUGAAAUUCGAUAUAAAACAAGUUAUAAGUAAAUUUAAAAUAGAGCUUCUGUCACCAAUCCAGGCUCGUUCAAUGUAGUUGAGUGACUUGAGUCUCCCAAGAGUUACAACUCCCACCAGGCUUGGAUAAAUAUUGGUACCAACUUCCGAGCAUUAAGUCUCGAGACCCUUCCCAGUACAGUGGUGUUUCUGCACCGGGUUGACUCCGCGCGGCUUCUUCUUCCUCAUGUGCACAUGUGACAUGUGGAAAGAUAUAUUCCCAGUUCAUUCUGGUGAAUCAACACUGUCUCAACCAUUUCUGAGGCCCAAAUGGGGUAAUCUAAAUUACCUCUCUUUUUGUGUCUAUUUAUCCUGUGAAAGCUAUUCUUGACAGAUCUCGUCUCUUACUUUCAAGUUUCUUUAUGUCUCUAUGAUCUUAUGAUGAUUUAUGGACGCGACCAAUAUAACAGAGAACCAAGAACUUGAGUUAUUCUCCAGGAAACAGAGACUUGGAAGCCUGAAAACCAAGACCAUCUAGAUUCGAUCUUUAUUUUCUCAUAUCAAUUUUUACAUUGGAUGCGGUAACAGUAGUACUUUCGAUUGCGCUAAUAUUCAUUUUGUGUUAGGAUUCAGAUAAUUUUCUUUUUCGACUAUUGUUUUCUGCAGAUUCUCCAGUAAGGUGUAGCCGUGGAGCUAUAUAGUAUAGGUAUUGGCAUUGUGACUCGUUUUCUUCUAUUAAAUUGGGCUUAUUAGGAGCUUAAUGGGUCUUCAUAUUACUUUUCUUCUCUAGUAGGAGAAAAUAUAUAAAAUCAUAUAUUUAGAAAAUUAUGCAUCGUAAGUUCGUAACAUUAACAUUGAGAAAUGGAUCAAAAUUCCAUAGUUAAUAGUUUAAAACUUUUAAAUAUCCAAGUUAACAAAUGUGAACAUCAUUAAUGUUAUUUUAGCAUAAUUUAUUUUACUAUCUUUUAAAUAUAUCUGUUGAGAAAAAGAUAUAAAUUUUUUAUAGAAAUUCAAAUUGUACAAAACAUUUCAUUAAUUUCAUAAUUAUUAUUAGAAUAAUAUAUAAUAUUAAUUCAGUUUUUAUUUUUUUUUCCCGUCAAUGUUUUUUAAAUUAAAUAAACGGGCCAAACCCAGUAAUCAGCCGAAACCCGAAUACAACAAAAAACGGUUUAAAACUCAAGAGACUACGGGCUAAACAAAAGACUAAAUGGACCCUCGGCCCAGACCCAGAAACCGGACGACCUGGUCGGAUAGCAAGUCAAGGAUGCUAGACACGUGGAGAGAUCUGCUCCGUUCACGCGACACGCGUCGUAACCGUCUCAACUUAACUGCCUCCGCAUCUACGCCGCCGGAGCAUCACCAUCUAAACCUGCGUUCGUCGGAGCUUGGAAACAGACAAGCCUCCAACGAACCCAUAACCAUUCUUCACCGCACUGUCUUCACGCAAGGGAACUAAUAGGCCUCCAACUACAUAAGAAGAAAACAAUACAUGUACAGUAUGCUUUGAAAAUUACAACAAUGGAACCUAUCUAUGUCCUCUUACUUGCGGCCAUACUUUCCAUUUCUGCUGCAUUGAUCAAUGGCUUCGUACAAAUAUAAGCGAUGUCCCAUAUGUGGGGAAAGUCAUCUAUGAUUCAACAUUAUUAUAAUUUAUAAGAGGGUUUAUUAUAUUCAAAUUUUCAGUUUCAUUUACAUACUGUUUUUGAUUUUCGUUUUAAUUUUCAAACUAAACAUAUAAUGGUUUUCCUCAUUUUCUAAUAUGUUCCGUUGUCAAAAUUAGUGUCUUACCAAAAAUAAAAUAAGAAAAAAUAUACGAACAAAACUUCAUUACACACAUUUAAAUUCAGAUUAGUCUCUAAAAUAAAAUUUUAAAUGUCGUUUCGUCUAUAUACUGUGCACAUGGUACUUAACAGUAUAAGUAUGUCUCUAAAUAAAAUAUCAACUUUACUUUAUGUUUAAAUUUCAACUAAAUGAUUUUUUUACGACUAUCGAUUUUUAUUAUACUUUUAUUGAAUUAAUUAGUCACAAAUGCUAUUCCACUUUGAACUAAACAAUUUCAAAACAAAGUAAUACACUUUGGUUGCUAACCAUUAUCAAAUGGAUCGAAAAAAAAUAUCAUUCUCUUUCCACAUAUUUUCAUCUUCAUAUUUUUGAAUAUAUUUUCUUUACCAAGACCAUAAAAUGAAUUGUAAAUUUAUUUUAGUAUAAAAUAUACGAAGCCGGCGCGUAGUGCCGGAAUACGACUAGUAUAUAUAUAUAUUGUAAAAAUAUGUUUUGUUAAGAUGAGUUCAAAGUUAUGUUUCCAUCGAAGUUUAAAACUAUCAUUAAAGAAGAACAAAAUGAGACCAAAAAUAAUAUGCGUCACAUUUAAUCUGGUUAAUUAACACGAUCACAUAACAAAUAAAAGUUGAUUGGGUUUCGGUUUUAAAACAAUGGUUUGGUUUAGUGCGGUUUAGAAUCGUUAGAUGUCCUGUCCACUCUUGAUUUCUCAAUAUACAAUCUAAAAGUGGAAAGUUCACAGAAUUUAGGGCCAUUCCGAUAAUUCUGCCUAAAUAAAAGGGAUUAUCGGUCGACUAAAACACGUGAAGAUAAUAUAUAAACUCGUUAGCCUCCCCAAUAUUUAACUCCUUUGACGAAUAUGGAGACAAGGUUUCCAAAUGUUACAAAAACCACCCUUCCUCUUUAUCUCGGACGACAAUGAUCACAACAAUCUCCGGUACACGAGCUUGAAAGAUGUGAUCUCGAGUUCUGAUGGCUUUGGUUCGUUCUUUUGUCACUCUGUUCCUUCGCAAGACGGUGUUCUCUUGUCGGAAAUGGAUUCUUCAAACAUUGCCAUUAGAAACGCGCUAGUGAAAAGAGCAGCUUCGAUGUAUCUUCAAUCUUCUAUGAUCGUAUCAGCUCCGGACACGAACUGGUUUCAGAGAUUCUGUCUGAAAGCCAAGCAUGCGGUUGAAUGUCUCAGACCAGUUUACCGGAUUUUUUCUUGGUCUAGUUAAAGAGAUGUGUUUUAGAAAGGGUGAUUCCGGUUUGUAAAUGUGUAAAUACUGUAUGAUAUAUAAUAUAGAUAAUCAAAUAAAAUUUCAAAGCCUUUUUUUCACAUCAAUCUAAAAUAUGAGAGAAACGAUCUAUAAACAUCAUCAUACCAUCGUAGAAUUAAGCAUCAUACAAUAAUUAACGUUUUUUAUUAGCUCGUUUGGAAGAAGACCACAACGUUUCUUUUCUCAGAUCUUCUGGAGCUUUUGUGUCCACAAACGGCUGCAAAAAAAAAGAGCAAAUUCGAAAAUAAUGUUACAACACCAGCAGGACCGAUAAUUCAUAUGUUAUUAAAUACUUAAAAUGUGGAGGCCAAGGUGGGAUGUCUCAUUCAACUAUACUCAGACCGGCCUUGAACACCAGUCUCAGCCUAAGCACAGUUUGUUUUGCUAUUGGGUUUCACCGAUGUUAAUUCCAGCUAGAAAAGUGUUUUGAUUAGUUCAUUAAUCCAUUAGCCUAAUGCUUUGAUUCGUGCUUUAGUGUCCCCUUCACAAUGAAUGCAGAUUGUGAAAAUAACUAGACAACAUUCAUGAAUCUUUCAUUCGAAACUAAGAAUCAGAAUGGAUGUUUAGAUCAAUUAACUGAAUCUCUAAUCUCUCAAUUAGUUAAAAUGUGUGAAGCUGAUUUGAUGUUGCAGAAGAAAGGUGGGGGGAGAUUAGAGAAUUACUUCGACUAGGAUAGAAUUUUGCCGGUGGAGUAGGCAUUUCUUGCGGCGGAUCUUCGGGAUUGAUUUAAGAUUUCUUCCGCCAUUGAUGGAAUUUCAGGUUUCUUUUCCACACAACUGCUGAUCACUUACCAUUCGUUUUUUCCUUUCUUCUAGACACCGUUUCUUUCUUCUAGACACCGUUUAUUUCUAUUUUUCACUGUGGUUUAAAUUAUUUUAAUAAGGCGUAUUUGUUUAAUUUGAAAACUAUAAUUUAUAACAUCUUUUUAAUUUACUCAUAGUUUAAACCAAAAUAUCAGUGUCUCUUUUUCGACAAAAUCAGAAUACAAUAGAAUUUCUAUAAAUUAAUAAUGUUGGGAUUUUGAAAUUUUAUUAAUUUAUAGAGAUAUUAAUUUAUAAAAGUUUCCUUAUUUAGAUUUUUUUAUUUUAAGAUAUAUAUAUUCUAAGAUAAAAAAAUAUUUGAUUUUGGUGUAUAGACAUUAAUUGUUAUUUUAUGAAAUAUGAGAUUUAUAUUAUUUGGUGUAUAUAAUAUAUAUUGCAUAGAACUUAAAUGUAGUUUUAGAUAUAAUAUUACUAAAUCUCAUCAAAAAUAUAUUAAGUGUUAAGUAAAUAUAAAGAUACUUCCAUUGUGAAUAUAAAACAAACAAUAUAAUAAUAGAUUUUUUACUUAUAUAACAUAUUUAUACAUAUAAAUUAUUAAUUUAUAAUUUUAAUGGGAUCAUAUAUUUACAUAGAAUUUUUUAAAAAAAUAUUAUCUUAUUAUUUUAUCGAUUUUUGUCAAAUUUUAAACUGGCUCAAAUUGGGACCAACGAAAUUUAUUAAUUUAUAGAGAUCAUUAAUUUAUCGAGUAUUAAUGAACGGAAGUUCUAUUGAUAUCAUAAGUAUUUUACAAGAUACAAACACAAUCUUACUACAACCAGGGGCGGACCUACUUGAAGAGGUGUAGGGUCACCUGACACCACAAAAAAAAUGAUAAAAAGUUUGUUUUGUAUGAAAAACAGUAAAGAUUAAGCAGCGGAAUUGGUAAAGUAUGGAGUAUGACCCCACAUAAACCAGGGUUUGAUUCCCACCUGUGACCUUUUAAUUGUUUUUGACACCAGUCUCAUUCAUUUCUGGGUCCGCCACUGACUACAACUAUUGAUUCAAAUGUAGGAAACUGAAAACAAUUUGGAUGGAACAGUGGAGAAUAAUUAUGCUUUCCUAAAAAAGCCUAAUAGGCUAACAGGUAAAAUCUAAAAAGCGUAUGAUCUAAUUCACUAAACUUGGAUAUAACUUUUUAAUAUUACGAAUUAUAUAGUAUACACACAUCAAAUUUAUGUCAUUUUAAGAAAAACCAUCACAUAUCACCAUAUAGCGGAUUGCACUGUAAAAUUUAUAUAAUAAGAUUCAAUAACUAGAUUUUGUUGUUAAAAACCACCUAAAAUAGUACAACUUGAUUAUUUGGGGGCAUGUAUAUUAGUAUAUAACUGUUUUUUUUUUACUUUCUAAAACAUCUUCUAAAUUUAGAAAAUAUGUUAUUUAGAGAUUAGCAUGUCAUUGUCUUGACUCUUGAUAUUUUUUGAUACUGACAUUUUCCGUAUUUAUUAUAUAACUGUAUGAAAUUUGUUAAAAAAUUGUAAACAAAAUCUUCUAAUCUUCUCUAUAUAAAAAAAAACAUUCCCGUGUUCCCAUCCAGUAGUAAUAAAACAACCCAAUCUUUCAUACAAACACCUUAUAAUCUUCUUGUUCUCUGCCCAUUUCAAGACAAGUAAAACCCUUAUCUUUCGUAACAAAACUCUUAAAAGACUGCAUCAUGGCGAAUGAAGUGACGUUUAUUCAAACAUGGGGAGAGGUAGCACCUUCACUAUUUCAUCGGAUUCAACAAGGAAGAUUAUCGAGGAGCAUUUCGCAGCCUAAGUUGGAAACUAUUUUUGAAGAAAGUUUUGAUAGUUUUGCAGUUCAGGCGCCAAAACGGAUUGUAAUUUUUCUUUCUGUAUUACUCUCAGUGAUUUGUACUUCGUGAUGUACGUACAAGGCUAUCAAAGACUAUCAUUUGCUUCUUUAACCUGUAAUUUGGAUGUAUUGUGAAUAACAAAAUAUCUCCAUGAUUUUCAAUGGAGGAGUUAGAACUUGAAAAAGCCUGAUUUGUUUACUAGAGAACUUGUUUUGUAUAGGUCAAAAAAACGUUAUAACAAUUUCUGAAGAAUAAUAUCUGAAACAUUACCACCAUGAACUGCAACAGAGGCAUAAGAUGUUUUUUAAUCACUAAGCAUGAGAUUAUAUAUAGAAAAGUCUUCUGCUUAUACAUUUACCACACAACGAAAAAGGCUCUUCUGAUUUUACACAAGUUAUAUUGAAAUGCUUAUACAUAUAUGUAAAUAUUUUCAAGAAAAUCGAACAACACGAUCAUGUCUAUACAACAAAACACAAGAAACGGCCGAUAUGAUCGCCGGAACGAGGAGAAAAAGACGGUGUCCUUGUCCCACCACAACUUUAGAAGAAUAUUCUUGAUAAUUUAAAUCAUCAAACCUUUCUUCGAAAAUGGUCUCUAGCGUCGGAGACAUCGAACAUCUCCGGCGAGAAAUCAUCGGAGCCGGUACCAUCUCAGCUCUAGUUAAAAAGCUUCUUCUUCCUAGUUCUGAUAUAACCAUGAUAGCUCGAUCUUUUCAACUUUUUCUUCUUAUUCUUGAUUUUUUUUGAAGAGAAAGUCGUGAUGAAAGUAUCUGGAUUCUAAUUAUUCUCGAUCUGAAUUAUUGGUAUAUAUAUAGAGUCUAAUGCACGGCAACAAUUUUUUUUAGAAAACACGGUUUUUAUUUGUUGAGAAAAAAAUUGAGAAAAGAAAACAGGUGGAUCAACGGCUGUCUCUGGUUCAAAUUAAGCUAGUGGUAUGUGAUACUACACACGUACGUACUCUUUUGAAAUCGACAAAAUUAGAUAUUGUAAAAUAACGACAAAGUUUCCUCCAUUAUUUAGUGAUGCAUCGAAACAAACAACACACAAAAAUAAACACAACAACAAGAUUUUAAAAAUUGAUCGAGUUUAAUUUCAUAUACGGACAACCAAUGAUUCUAACUUUAUUUUAUUGGGUUAGGUGUUCAUAAAUAGCUUAAUGGUGAGAAUUAGGUCAGAGAGUUGUAAGAUCUUAGCUCUGAUACCAUGAAAUAUAUUUUUUUUUUUUUUCUCAUAUUAUUAAAGACCUAAAAAGGCCAACAAAGAACCAUAUGAAACACAAAAGCCUUAAAGACCAGGCCCAAACACCAUAUACAAGCCCAAAAAAGAAAAGGAGAGUGGCCCAGUCACAACCCUUUCCACCUCCACGAAGAAACACGAAACACAGAAAAAAGACGCGUGGACACGCCACCAACUCCACCGAAACUGCCGCCGGGACUUCCACCGGAUUCACACCGGAAUCACACCGGAAUCACGAGCCAUCACCGGAAAUUAACGAAAUAAAAUCGUCACCGGAUCAUCCAAUUCACCUGACCACCGGAAACUACCGGGAAUUAACCAUGACCACUGAAAAACCACCUCCAACGACUGUAUUGAAGGUAUAAGCGAUUCAGCAUCCACCACUUAACCGUCUGAGCUUCGGAGAACGUUAAUCAAAUGAAAUCGAAAAUUCAUCCAAACUCAGGCCAUCAUACACAACACCAAACCGUCAUACAGCUCGAGCACUCGCGAGUGAAAGAUGUGAUGCGGAGUCAGAAGCCGGAUACUCAUCACCGACAGAAAGGGAGAGCACCGGAAGCAGAGGCCGGACGAGCACCGGAAGCAGAGGCCGGACGACCAUCGGAAGGACAUAUGCGACGCCGGAAUCAAAAUUAACAAGAACAUCACCGACGAGAACAAGAAGAUUCAUCUCAUAGAGAAAUCUUCAGAUCACCGUGGCUUUGACAUAAGUUUCAUCUCUUCAACUUUUCCUCUGUAAAAGAUUCUAGAGAGAGAACAGAGGAAAAGGAUGAAACGUUUUCACUCUCGUCUAUCUGGUAUUUUCUUAUAAGUAAUUUUUUCUGAUACCAUGAAAUAUAUUAUGAAAGCGUGUGUUUAUUGAUACAAUAGGCUGAGUAUAUAUACAACGUAAGAAUAUCCUAUGCUAGCUAGGUAAAGGUUAUCUAGUCCCAUAACAAUAGGGAAACCAUAUUAUCAUGUUUAUCCCUUUAAUUUUCGAACUAGACAUUUAAUAUACAUUUAAAAAGCUUGAUUAUGGAUAAAAUUAUAUCAAUUCGAAAACGACUGGAUAUAUAUCCACUUCCUAAAUUCAAAACAUAAUUAUUUUUUAA